CAAAAUAGGACCUAAAUUGGCUUAAUUUUAUUAUCUUGAACUAACUCAAUUCAAUAACCCUCAACCCGGCCCAAAUCAUAAUUUAAAUCUCAGUCAUUUACACCUUCUGAUUAGACGGUGCCUAUCAAUUCCCUAACAUAUUUUCUCUUUAGUUAAUCCACUUCCCCAACCCCAGUCACAACUGUCCUCUCCCUCCUCCCACCGCCUCAACUAUCGUCACUGCCACCGACCAUAGCUGGCCCAACUAUGAAUUGAUUCGCCGAUGGAACCUCAUUAUAGCUGGAUAUAUCAACGAAAUAUUGAUAAUAGAAUGGGUGAGGCUGGGAAUGAAGAUGUGGAUGAUGAGUUGUAGUUUUUAGUCUUUUGUAUGUUUUAUAGUUUGGAUUUGGAACCUUGAUAAAUUUUGUAAAUAAUUUGAUUUUUAAUGUUUGUAUUCUUAUGGUGGUUGGUUGAUUGUAUAUUA